ensembl:lncRNA
AAACCAGCGGCAUGCGCAGCAGUACUGGAGGACCAGUCUGGGCAACAGUCAGCAAAGCCAAAAGACAUGGCAAAGGAACAGAAGGAUGGUGAUAAGAAGGCAGAAAUAUUGAGGGUGGAAGAACAAGGGAAGAAAGUUCAAGAAAACAGCCAGAAGCAUAAGACAAAACAGGAGCAAGAGACAAUGAAGUUAAAUAUGGGCAGAGAAAGAAUGGAAGAAGAGAUAAAGAUGAUGGAUGCAGAACAUGAUAAAGCCAAUAUGUCAAGGAGACUGGAAGAGAAGAGUAUGAGUGCUCUGGAAGAAGAAGAGGAGAAGAGGAGAGUAAAGGAGGAAGUUGAGACAGAAAUGGUGAAAGGACAUCCCUCCCCUGCAGAAAAGUUAGAGUCUGAUGAUAAAGUCUUGAGAGUCCCUAAAGAAUGUGAAAAAGAAGGAAAGAAAGGCAGGAAUAAAGGCAAGGAGAUCCUGACGGAGGACAAAGAACCUAUGAUGAAGCCCGAAAAGACAGCACAUGCAAAUUCAGAGAAUAUUCUACUGAAGUCACCUUUACAAGGAGGUACGUAUUGUCAAAUCUGGUUUGACAAAACUAUGCCUGUGAAACGUGUACAGUGUAUUAACCUUUAUUUUAUUCUUACACAGAUCACCUCUCUCCCAUUGUGGAAAAGGUGACAUCAAAACCUUUGGCACCAU